CGUUCUCGAUCACCGGCUUCUUCGGCUUUGCCGCGGCUUUCGGCGCGUCGGCCUUUGGAGCUUCGGCCUUUGGAGCGGGCUGCGCAACCGGUGCAAUCGACGGCGAUGCGACUUCGAUUUCGGUUUCGCGNNNNNNNAGCUCGUCGAGCGAAACUUCGCCAGGACGCAGUUCGCGUUCCAGCGUCUGAUCGACCAUCAGGCCGACGGUCACCGGCUUGGCUGCAACCGGUGCAGGCGCGG
rnacentral:misc_RNA from 1 species